ensembl:lncRNA
CCUUACCUUGGUCUUUAGACUGAAAUCUUCUUGAAAUAGAACUGUUACUGAAAUUAAACACCAUACUUGCAGCAAUUGAAAAAAUAAGCAUAACGGUGAUAUUGGUAGCCUGCUAGUAUUUUUGCUUUAGUUCUCAUCAAGAUCAGACAUGAUUACACUCCACAAGCCUAUUUUAAGUAGUGACAACAUUAUUUGUAUUACUGAAGCACUCAAAAGCCACAGACUUGGACCACAACCUCAUUGUGCAAGAUCCUGUGCAAACAGGGCAGAAGAAUUACCCAUGCACCAGGAGGAAUGUAACCAGCAUAAAGCAACAAUCCCCAUGCAGACCAGUGUGGGAGUACAAGGAAAAUGAUGGUUUGUGUCAUAUAAAUAACAUUCUAAUUAUUCUGGGAACACUGGGGUCUUGACUGAUCUCAAAGGUUUUCAGACACCCCUGCAGAAGAGUACAGUACUGAAAACCCUUGGAACAGUCAAUGAGGCAGCUUUGCUGAUGUAUGUGGGCAUAACCCUCAUGAGGAAAAGAGCAAAGGACUUCAACCUCCUGUGUUUUGGCUUUUCUCACAGUUGUCAAUCUUACCCUUUUCCCAGAAAAGUUUGGCAUUUAUUACUUGCUGUGAAAGGCUCUAUCAGGCUUGAAGCAGAGAAGGCAUUUGUCACUAGGAGAGCUUACGUUGAGAUAAAACUCAGUGCAAGAGAAACAGCUUCCAUGUAAGACAAAUAGCCCAGCAAGGGCUUCCAUGUACAGCUGUCAGUGGUUCAGAGCAUGUCUGUGGCUGUUUUGGAUCCAUCUAGACUACUUUCCUCUCCCCAGACCUGCAGUAGACUAGAAGAUGUGCAUAAAAACAUGGAAAUCCCAAUGACAAACUGUGACUCUUGAGUAAAUGGCAAAUGCUGCAUCAGGACUUCAUUGCAUGGCUGACAGUAAGCCUGUGAUGAUAAUGUGCACCAUCUGUUGCUUUGAUGGGUUAUAAACUUUUCCCAUAAAAUGCUUAAGCAUGUUUUGAGAUAAAUUUACUUUUAAAUUCCAAAAUAUCAGUAAUUUUCACAGAUUUAUUCAUUAAAAAAAGAUUGUCCCUUGUUUUUAAGAAGUAGUGAUAACUUGUUGUGUGCCUCACCUUUCCAAUCACUAUAUCCUGAGGUGAUCAUUUUUGCAAGUGUUGUCUGAUACCAAAAGCAAUUCAAUUCCAUACAGAUCUAUACACCUCUGCAUUGUAGCAAUUUAAACAGCAACAACAACAAAUUAUUAAUAAAACUUUUCAGUGCUUAGUGGAUUUUGUUUUUCUUCAGAGAAAUAAAUUCUUUAUGCCGCUGAUAUUAAGAAGCAUUUUAUGUGUGUUGCAGCAAUUUUGCACUCACAGGCUUCUAAUUGAAAAUUAUUAAAAAUUUUGCCCAUCUUUCCACAUGCAUACAACAUGAAUGCUAUACUCCAUCACAGAAUUGAAAUUUGUCAAUGCAGAAAUGCACUUUAUAGAUUACAUACUCACAGGGAAAAUUUGCAAAGUAUUUAAAAAAAGCCCCAAACCCUACUGAUAUAAAUGUCAUGCAAGUUUUUCUUGGCAGGUGCUGAAAAAGAGUUAAAAUUUCCUUCUGACAUACAGUUAAACAUAUUUAAGCAACUUCAGGAAAGAAAGGGAAACUUGGUAGGGAUUCAACUCAGUCCAUAUGGAAGAGCACAGAAGACAGACUUGAACUAAACUUAUCAGGCAUUAAAAUUGGACAACAAAUGGGAACAUUUCAUGUAGCCUCUGGCAUUCUGAACAUGUUGUCAUGGAAAGCAAAGCCUAGCAAACUCUCAAAAAAUUAAGACUUGACCAGCUUCAUAUCAGAGCUGUUGAAAUAAAAAACAUGCUGAUAGCCUGACAUUAUAUCAAACCUACCAUGUCAAGAGAAACUGAGCCUUCUGCUCUUGGCUUCACAAGAGGAGAAGGUUUACUGAUGAAGAAUAAUCUUUAAUAUUUUUUUAAAGAGCAAAUACAUCUAAGUUUCUACACAGCAUAGUUUUGCUUUCUUCCUUCCCACAUUUAUAUCUAAUGUAGUAGGCUGAAUCCCAGUCCUCAACUUUGUUAGUCUGCAAAAUCAGACUGUGUAUGAUAAAACAGAGUAUUCAACAUAGUGUUAAUGCAGGCCCAUAUAAAAUUUGCUAUUUGCUGUGCUUUGAAAGUUCUUUAGGCUCUUUGUCUUAAACCAAGGGAACAUUGAUGUCCACCAUUACCAUCACCCUAAUAUAUAAGAUAACCCUUUAACCCAAUGGUUGGAAAUAGCUUUUAGGAGAAGGCAUUUGCUCAUAAUUUUCACCUGGAAAAUUCCAUAAAUGAGACAGUUUAGGCAUAUCCACAAACCAUUGGAAAGGGACAAGGCUGCCAAGAGACUUAUCUGGCAAUAUGUGCGUCAUCACGAGAAGCAUUUAUUUGCUUGAAAGGAGUGCAAAUAACUAAACAGGUUAUUCAAUCCAUGCAUAGAAGAUAAAAAACCUUUUUCCCCACUUGCAAAUUGAUGUCUGCAUAUUUCUUUACUUUUCAAAUAGAAAUAUUGUUUUGGGAACAACUUUUAAUUCAAUAAGCGACUUAGAAAUUUUCACUUACAGUUUUUUCUUCAGUCAAAGCAUUUUGUUAUCAUAGUUACGAUAUAUUUCUAAAUUUCUAAAUAUAAACUAAAUUUCUAAAUAUAAACUAAAAAUUGACUAUGGUAAUUAAUUUUGGACAUUAAACCUUUUUACUGCUGCAUAAUGCCUUAAUUCUACAAAAACAUAUCUGCCUAUGUCCAAGUGUUUGAUAUUCCCCGUGCAGAACCCCUCAUCUAAAAGAGCAAGACACCAGGUGGCAGCAUACAGUGAAAAAAUACACUUGACAUUUCCAGCAGCACAAUCAAUUAGUGAUGUUGCAGCUGAAGCAGUCAUAGUUUUCUUUUCAGUUUAUAAAAAAUGAUUAUCAAACAUAACCAGAUGGAGACAGUGUUGGAGACAGUGUUGAAGGCAGUGUCAGCAGCUCUACAAAAGGCAGAAAACAUGAGAAAAAAAACAGUAUAUAAGCAUGGCUGUAGUAAACAAGUUGCAAGUAGAGGCAGAAAUGUAAAUGCACAACUUGACAUUUUGGCAAGUCUCAGAAGUCUUCAUGCUUAGCACUUCAGAAGCUGUUUAUUUAUUUAGAUUACCAAUAUUUUGUUGGGGUUGAGCUUGGAACUGAGAGCAGAUAUCCCAAUACGUGUAUUUCCUGGGUCAUGCUUACCUGUAUAAAAUUGUAAACCUUACUUUGCUUUGUGAAUUUACAUUGGUCACUCAGGAUUCAAUACUGAGGGAGACAAAAUGUGGGAGAGACAAAGUCCCUGACCACAUCAAAGGUGAUACCUGUCAAAGAUGCCAUAACUGGAUGCAGUGAUUUUGCUUCAUAUUGUAGGAGUAGCUUGCUCAUUGCCAAAAAAAACCAAAAAACAACCCCCCCCAAAACCAACCAACCAAACAAACAAAAAAGAAAAAACAGGGAAAAAAAGAGGGAAAGGCUUAACUUUAAGAUUUACAGUGCUUAGAUUUUGCUUCAUAUUGUAGGAGUAGCUUGCUCAUUGCCAAAAAAAACCACCAAAAAACAAUCCCCCCCAAAACAAACAAACAAACAAACAAACAAAAAAGAAAAAACAAGAAAAAAAAAGAGAGAAAGGCUUAACUUUAAGAUUUACAGUGCUUAAAAGAGUCCACAAAACUCUCUCAUUUCAUUUGAGAUUAAAUAAGUACACUUUGGAUUAAAAUAGGAAGAAAUACUUAGAAUAGAGAUUCCUUUGGGCAACGAGAAAGAGUCCAAGAAAAUUUUUGAGAAGUUCAUAUAAGAAAUACAGCACAAUCCUGCUGUUUUCUUAUACAUUAUUGGCAAAUGUAACUUCAUGGUAUUUAACUUUCUGUAGGGUAAAGCAACAGGAUGUUAGAAUUCAAAUUAAAUUAUGAUUGUGUGAAAAGUUAAUUUCAUAAUUAAUUCCCUUACCUUGUUUCCUAAAACAUUUUCUUUUAAACAUAGAUAUGAAAGAUAAUACUAAAUAAAUCAACUUGAUCAGGUUCUGAGAAGACUUUUCUAUAAAAUUGUAAACCUUACUUUGCUUUGUGAAUUUACAUUGGUCACUCAGGAUUCAAUACUGAGGGAGACAAAAUGUGGGAGAGACACUGUCCCUGACCACAUCAAAGGUGACACCUGUCAAAGAUGCCAUAACUGGAUGCAGUGAUUUUGCUUCAUAUUGUAGGAGUAGCUUGCUCAUUGCCAAAAAAAACCAAAAAACAACCCCCCCCAAAACCAACCAACCAAACAAACAAAAAAGAAAAAACAGGGAAAAAAAGAGGGAAAGGCUUAACUUUAAGAUUUACAGUGCUUAAAAGAGUCCACAAAACUCUCUCAUUUCAUUUGAGAUUAAAUAAGUACACUUUGGAUUAACAUAGGAAGAAAUACUUAGAAUAGAGAUUCCUUUGGGCAACGAGAAAGAGUCCAAGAAAAUUUUUGAGAAGUUCAUAUAAGAAAUACAGCACAAUCCUGCUGUUUUCUUAUACAUUAUUGGCAAAUGUAACUUCAUGGUAUUUAACUUUCUGUAGGGUAAAGCAACAGGAUGUUAGAAUUCAAAUUAAAUUAUGAUUGUGUGAAAAGUUAAUUUCAUAAUUAAUUCCCUUACCUUGUUUCCUAAAACAUUUUCUUUUAAACAUAGAUAUGAAAGAUAAUACUAAAUAAAUCAACUUGAUCAGGUUCUGAGAAGACUUUUCUUGUAUUAACAAAAAUUAUCAUGUUUUAAA